AUUGAACGCUGGCGGCAGGCCUAACACAUGCAAGUCGAACGAGUGGCGGACGGGUGAGUAAUGUCUGUGAAACUGCCUGAUGGAGGGGGAUAACUACUGGAAACGGUAGCUAAUACCGCAUACCAUCAGAUGUGCCCAGAUGGGAUUAGCUUGUUUGUGGGGUAACGGCUCACCCAGGCGACGAUCCCUAGCUGGUCUGAGAGGAUGACCAGCCACACUGGAACUGAGACACGGUCCAGACUCCUACGGGAGGGAGCAGUGGGGAAUAUUGCACAAGGGGCGCAAGCCUGAUGCAGCCAUGCCGCGUGGAUGAAAAAGGCCUGCGGGUUAUAAAGGACUUUCAGCGGGGAGGCGUUACCCGCAGAAGAAGCACCGGCUAACUCCGUGCCAGCAGCCGCGGUAAUUC
rnacentral:rRNA from 1 species